GACGAACGCUGGCGGCGUGCUUAACACAUGCAAGUCGAACGGAAAGGCCCUGCUUUUGUGGGGUCCUCAAGUGGCAAACGGUUGAGUAACACGUGAGUAACCUGCCCUUGACUUUGGGAUAACUUCAGGAAACUGGGGCUAAUACCGGAUAGGAGCUCCUGCUGCAUGGUGGGGGUGGGAAAGUUUCGGCGGUUGGGGGUGGACUCGCGGCUUAUCAGCUUGUUGGUGGGGUAGUGGCUUACCAAGGCUUUGACGGGUAGCCGGCCUGAGAGGGUGACCGGCCACAUUGGGACUGAGAUACGGCCCAGACUCCUACGGGAGGCAGCAGUGGGGAAUAUUGCACAAUGGGCGGAAGCCUGAUGCAGCAACGCCGCGUGCGGGAUGACGGCCUUCGGGUUGUAAACCGCUUUCGCCUGUGACGAAGCGUGAGUGACGGUAAUGGGUAAAGAAGCACCGGCUAACUACGUG
rnacentral:rRNA from 1 species